AUUGAACGCUGGCGGCAGGCCUAACACAUGCAAGUCGAGCGGAUGAAGGGAGCUUGCUCCUGGAUUCAGCGGCGGACGGGUGAGUAAUGCCUAGGAAUCUGCCUGGUAGUGGGGGAUAACGUCCGGAAACGGGCGCUAAUACCGCAUACGUCCUGAGGGAGAAAGUGGGGGAUCUUCGGACCUCACGCUAUCAGAUGAGCCUAGGUCGGAUUAGCUAGUUGGUGGGGUAAAGGCCUACCAAGGCGACGAUCCGUAACUGGUCUGAGAGGAUGAUCAGUCACACUGGAACUGAGACACGGUCCAGACUCCUACGGGAGGCAGCAGUGGGGAAUAUUGGACAAUGGGCGAAAGCCUGAUCCAGCCAUGCCGCGUGUGUGAAGAAGGUCUUCGGAUUGUAAAGCACUUUAAGUUGGGAGGAAGGGCAGCAAGUUAAUACCUUGCUGUCUUGACGUUACCAACAGAAUAAGCACCGGCUAACUUCGUG
rnacentral:rRNA from 1 species